GAGGGUGUAGCUCAGUGGUAGAUUGCAUGCUUAGCAUGCACAAGGUCCUGGGUUCAAUCCCCAGUACCUCCA
rnacentral:tRNA from 1 species